AUUGAACGCUGGCGGAAUGCCUAACACAUGCAAGUCGAGCGGGGGUAGCAAUACUUCAGCGGCGGACGGGUGAGGAACACAUAGGAAUCUGCCUUUAGGUGGGGGAUAGCCAGGGGAAACUCUGGGUAAUACCGCAUGAUCUCAAGAGAGCAAAGGGGCGCAAGUCUCGCCUUUAGAGGAGCCUAUGUCUGAUUAGCUAGUUGGCGGUGUAAUGGACCACCAAGGCGAUGAUCAGUAACUGGUCUGAGAGGACGAUCAGUCACACCGGAACUGAGACACGGUCCGGACUCCUACGGGAGGCAGCAGUGGGGAAUAUUGGACAAUGGGCGAAAGCCUGAUCCAGCAAUUCCGCGGGUGUGAAGAAGGCCUUCGGGUUGUAAAGCACUUUAGUUGGGGAAGAAACAGCUUGGCCACACCAAGCCUUGACGGUACCCAAAGAAUAAGCACCGGCUAACUCUGUGCCAGCAGCCGCGGUAAAAC
rnacentral:rRNA from 1 species